rnacentral:rRNA from 1 species
CAAUAGCGUAUAUUAAAGUUGUUGCGGUUAAAAAGCUCGUAGUUGGAGUUCUGCCAGGUGCCGCCUGUCCGCCCCAGUGGUGAGUACGUGGCGCGCGUUUGGCCCUUUCAAGGGGAGCGUAUCUGCACUUUAUUGUGUGGUGCGGGAUCCUUGACUUUUACUUUGAGGAAAUAGGAGUGUUCCAAGCAGGCUCUCGUCGUGCACAGCUCAGCAUGGAAUAAUAGCAUUGGACCUCGAUUCUAAGCUGUUGGUUGCCAGAAGCGAGGUAAUGAUGAAGAGGGAUAGUUGGGGGCAUUCGUAUUUAACUGUCAGAGGUGAAAUUCUUGGAUUUGUUAAAGACGGACUACUGCGAAGGCAUCUGCCAUGGAUGUUUUCAUUGA